rnacentral:rRNA from 1 species
GGGGGGCGCGGGCGGUAGGGGGGGCGCGUGGAGGUCGAGGGGCGGCGCAGGAAGAGCUUGCGCUGAGGGGUGGGGCGUGGCGGACGUUGGAGGACUACAGCGGAAUCUACUUUUUUGUUGUGGAUACCGUAGGGAAACUUACGCUGAUACCUCCUACCACCUCCGGGGGAAAGCCCGAGAUCUUCGUACCUUGCGGGAGUGCAGACCCCUCUGUCUGCUUAGCUAGUUGGCGGGAGAACGGCCCACCCAGGCGACGAUCCGGAGCUGGUCUGAGAGGAUGAUCAGCCAAACUGGAACUGAGACACGGUACAGACUCCUACGGGAGGCAGCCGUGGGGAAUAUUGGACAAUGGGCGCAAGCCUGAUCCAGCCAUACCGCGUGGGUGAAGAAGGCCUUCGGGUUGUAAAGCCCUUUUGUUGGGAAAGAAAAGCAGCAGGUUAAUACCACGCUGUUCUGACGGUACCCAAAGAAUAAGCACCGGCUAACUUCGUG